UCUGUUAUGCGACUAGCAGUAGCCUAGGAAGAUGUGCGUCACUGGCAACGGUGGGGUGCAAAGCUCUUCCGACAAUGUAACCCCCGCAAGGCACCAGAAACCGCGAGGCGACUGGUGAUGACCCGGAGUAGUACCGGGUCUGGGUG
rfam:Pseudomonas pseudoalcaligenes KF707 = NBRC 110670 strain KF707 ctg10006, whole genome shotgun sequence.